AGUUUAAGCCGGACGAAGGGAAGAAUCCGAUGGCUGGCAUCAUGGACCUGAUGAAGAAUAUGUACGACGAGGGCGACGAUAACAUGAAGAAAACGAUUGCUCAGGCGUGGACCGACGCAAGAGCCAAGCAGGGAGGACUGUGAAUCCUUUCGUUUUAAGAUUGGAUGAUUUCCUCGCUGCGAAAUUAGUCUAUCAUGUUGUUACUGAUCGUGGAUUGUGCUCAGCGUUUAUCCCUCUGCUAACAGAGUGUACAAAGUUUGCUCAGGCUCGCGAAGUUCAUUGGUAGGGCAACAAGGUGCCAGAGUAGCUCAUUUGGUUAGAGCGUGUGACUGAAAAUCACAAGGUCGGUGGUUCAAUCCCACUCUCUGGCAUAAAGCUGUAUGGUAGUCAUCUAGUCUAUGGUUUUGUUUUUGGCAUAAUGUUGCAUUGUAUUCUUGCUGCAAGCUCUAGUCUAGAUUUUUUCAAGAAGAAACAGACCUAGGUUGAUCUUGGAAGGAUCAUGCGCUUGGAAGUUUUUUGCUACAUUAUAUUG